rnacentral:rRNA from 1 species
UACGUCGGGGGCGAGCGUUGUCCGGCGUUACUGGGCGUAAAGCGCUUGUAGGCGGUCCACCAAGUUUGGGGUGACAGUUGCCGACUUAAUCGGCAAAGUGCCUCAAAGACUGGCGGACUUGAGGGCCACAGAGGGACAUGGAACUCCAGGUGUAGUGGUGAAAUGCGUAGAUAUCUGGAAGAACACCAAAGGCGAAGGCAGUGUCCUGGGUGGUCGCUGACGCUGAGAGGCGAAAGCCAGGGGAGCGAACGGG